CCUGAGCCGAAGGCAGACGCUUAACCAUCUGAGCCACCCAGGUGCCCCUGGUGUUUGUAUUUUAAAGCACGUAGGGAUGCUGGGGUCUGGGGAACAUCCAGGCAGCUCUCUCCCCUCAGCAUCACUUCCUGCCUCGUGUCAUUAGCCAUUAUGAAGAUGCCUCAUCAUCUAGCACCUACUGGCCACACGGGCUCAGACAGGUUAGAGGACCCGCUCAGGGUCACGCACCUGGGAAACAGAGGAUGGAGGCAGAGACCUCAGGUCUAGAUGCUAUGUGGGAAAGUGGAGAGUCGAUGGGGGUUGCAGCUCCAGAGGCUGAUUAGCUGUGUGACCUUGGACAAGCCACUUGACCACACUGAGCCAUCCCCUGCCCCUGUGUGCAAAACCAGAACAGUAACAGCACAUGCCCUACGAGUUCUGGGAAAGAACAUAAGCCAGUGUAGAGCUCUGGGAUCUAUCUGAUCCCUUCUCUAUAUUAAUCUUCUUGAGAGCAGGCAUUUCCAGUUCACUGACUUCUGCCCAGUGCGGCUCUAAAAGCUGGUCAAAGAGCUCUAUUCCUGGUCACUCACUGAAUCCGUUAAUCUGUCCAUUUUACAGAUGAGAAAAUGGAGGCCCAGGGAGGUUAAGCCAGGAUCAUACAUUGUGUAAGAGUGAAGCUCAAAGGUGAUCCAAGCCAAGGAUAGCCACAAAAUGGAGCUUUUCAAGCUAAGUAUCUGCCCUUCAGGUGAUGGAGUCUAUGACCUCCCCUGAGGGUAUGCCCACACCAGCAGGGGUACUGUCCCCACUCAGCCCUACUCUCCCUGACCCCUACAAGGUGCACACAACCGCUACUCACCCUCUAUCAAUGGAGGAGGCAGGUCGAGCGGGAGAGAGGGAAUGAGUGAGCUUCGAUGACCCCCAGGACAGUGAAUGCCCUUGAGGCCGGGGUGCCCCUGCCCCAGCAGAGCCGGCUGCCGAGCGGGCAUUCAACACUGGGAGUCUUCCGCGCACCCCCACCUGCAUCUCUGCUGAGUGCUGGGGUGGGAGACUGCACAGCUUGUCCCUGCCUCCCCAUCAAACGCCCCCCCCCCCCACUUGGGGAACACAGCACCUUUAUGGCACUUUCUUGUUCUGCCCAAUUUGCUCUAAAACAGGUGUCCUUUGAUCUCCUACAGUGCAGCGGAGAGAGGUAAGCUUUGGAAAGGCUGCCUGCUAUCCUGGGGUCACAGAGACCGAGGCUAGACAGGCCGGCCUUGGUGCGAAUCCAGGUGUAGUGGUGCAUACCCAGUGCGCGGCAGCAAUCGCGAUCUGAGUAUCAGCACUUCGCUUUUGCCCACUGGGGGACCCCCACGAAGCCUUCCUUGUCUUUGAGCGUCCUGGGCCGACUCAGGGAGCACACGAGCUUGUGUGUGAGGGACGCCGAGAUAAGCCUCGCUCCCUCCAUAUGGACAGCACAGCGUGGGGCAAGGGACCAGAUCCUGACACAGGGUGUCCCACAGGCUUCCUUUUGCUCUUUUCUUUGGCCUUUUGGGGUCCUGACCCUUUACACCUUCUCCUUCCCUGCCUUAGUGAGUGACUAACAGCAUCCUUUGCCAUGGAAGACACUGGUGGGUGAAUUUUGCAUCGGUGUGCCUGUGUGUGUGCGUGCAUGUGUGUAUGUGUUGUGCACCAGAGCUACAUAUCAAACAUUGCUAUGUUCUGCAAAGAAAAAGAAAAAUAAAAAAAACCCAGAGCGAUGAACCAUCGGGCUGAGCUCCCUUCCUCUUUGCUGUGUUGUGGUUUGUUAGGAUUUCAACUCUACUUCUUUAGGACUUCAGCGCAGUUGUUUUGAUCUCGGGGUGAGUCACUUCCACUGAGGAAGCUGUGUCAAGAUGUGUCAGGAUAUCUCCAUGGACAUCUGGUUCCGCUGGCGCUUGGGAGCCCGGUGGCUGGUGGCCGAGAUGCUGGGGGCGUGGUGAUAAGGACACGUGGAGCAGUGGCUGUGACAUAAUGGACCUUUGAACUGUAAAUACCAAGAACUGUGAGGACUCACUGAGUGUCUGGUCCAGGCGAGGCCCCUCUUUGCUGACCUGAAUCGCUCUCCGGAGACCUUGGGACACUUGCUUCCGCCUUGGCCAGGCCAUUUCUGGUUGGCAGUGGCGUUAACCCGCUCGGCGGUCUCCGGAGGCAAGGGCACCCGUUCCUGCCUCGGCGAGCCUUCCCCCAUGGGCAGGGGCGCCGGCCGUGUACCAGUCCCCGGGGCACUAACCUUUGGCGCAGCCCACCGCUAGCCGCGUGCCCCAGCAUCGAGGGACCCAAGCCAGCAGCUUUUACUUGGAAGGACUGACUCCACAGACACACAGCUCGUAGAAAGGUACACAUAGAGAGAUGGGGGCUUUCCGAUAAGCCGUGACCUGGAUCCAGCCCCAAGAACCUUCACUCCUUCCUGUUUCUGGAGCUCAGAAUGUGCGAGUGUUGACUGGGCUGUCAGCUUCCCCCAAAUUUAGAAGGGGUCACUCUGAGCCCUGACUCCAGGCGUGAAAGGUGUGAGAUCUCUGCACUCCCCCUCCCCUUCACAACAGCCCUUGUCCACACCCCGAAGCCUCAUGGCACCUGCCAGGAUCCAUGACACACGAACAGGCUAGCUUCUCAGUCAGCAAGAGGGGGAUAGGAUAAACUCAAAGCUUGGACCAUAGCUUUCCAGUCCCUCCACACCCCUCUCUGCACAUGCCUCACACUACCCAGACGUCUCUAACAGUUCCCUCCAUGCCAAGAAUGAAAUCCAAGGCUCUGGCCACAGCCUGCAAGAUCCUACUAGAGCUGGCCCUUGCCUACUUUCUUACUCCACUCUCCAUGCCUUUUCUUUGCUCACUCUAUUUACCAGCCCCGUGCCCUCCGCAAGAUGACAAGCACACGACGUGGGGACAGGCUAUGUGCACUGCCCAGAUGCUCCUCCCACAGAUAGGAGGCUAGCCAUCACUUAACGCAGGAUGCUGAGUCUCAUGUCAGACUAUCCUCGGAGAGACUAUCCCUGCACCUUCUGCAUCCCUGAAUAAUGAUGUCUAUCACGCUCUGCAUUUCGCCCACCUGUUUUCCAACAUUAUAUACUUAUGAACAUCUGAAAAGAUUCUCCAUGCAACUAGG